UUGACUCCUGUGAUCUUUUCCCCAUUUUCGUCGCUCCUUCGAUAUUUUCGUGGUUUACGUCGGGAUGAAAAACGAAUUCCGUCCCUUCACAUGAAGAUAACACUUAAGCGCUUCCCGGGAGAGAAUAUAAGCAAGACAAAUUUCUUGGACGCGAGGAUCUACCCUAAUCUUCAUUGUCUUUCUAAGAAUGCCAUUGGACGAUGUGUAAGUUAGAAUUAGAUUGACGGCAGGCGACCAAUCGUUCGAGGAAUGUCCGUGAGACAUUGAACUGUAUAGUUAUCCUUCUACACUCCUGUAAAGUUAACAUACUUCAUCCAGAGUUGGGCCUUUUUUCACGAAGAAGAAGAUUGGCAUUUGGACCAGCCUCUUAACUGAAGAAGAAGAAGAAGAACAAUAAAACGAAGAUGGGUGAUAUUGUCUGGAGUAAUAAGAUGAGAUUGAGGCGAUAUCAUCUCUUUUCUGAAGGGAGAUCUCCAUAGAAACCUGGAAAGUUGAAUGGAGAGUCCUUCACCCCUCCCGCUUCCUUACUGACUAUGUCUAUUCAGAUUCCAACAAGAAUAAGGUUUGUUCUUCGCGGCCAGGCGCAUCAAACAGUCUACGAGGACCCGAGAUAUAUCCUCGGUUUAGCUGGAGAGAUUAAGGGGCUUGUUUCGGAUGAAGUGUUGUGUUUGGUUCUCAGCAAUGAGAUAGACUGUUGCGGGAAGAUUCUCUAUCUUUGGCAAUACUAGAGUUGGGUCAUAUGGGUGUUCUUGGGUGAGUUCUGCGACAUUCUAUUGUGCUCAGGAGCAGCCUGCGCCCGGAUAAUCGAAUUUUACCCUACUCUGUGAUGUCAGUAAAAUAUAAAUAGAAGGACAGAAGCAUAGAGGAGAAAAACAGAGGGAGAUUCAGAGAAAAAGGAAUAUUGAUCUUUAUUCCAUAAUGGCUCGUCUAUUCGACUCAUCAGGUACAUUAAACUUCAUAAGUUGUUUACAACUACAUAAUUGACUUUCAGUUAGUUCCAGAUCUUUUUACAUAUAUCACUCUGUUGAAGCUUUCACCUCUAAUAAAACCUCUUCCCAUCGUCUCUCUUACGCCUUUGUUUGCCAAGCUAGUGAACUUGUCUAAGUGAAACAGCAUUUUCAAGUCGUGUGUGCUUUGCUGGACCCAUGCACUUAGCUAAAUUUAUAUUGGAGCUUGGCAAGAAUCCAGACGAAUGUAUGCUUGCAGUGAGGUUAUUGGAUGAGCUUGAGGAAGAGGAGAUUUAAAUUUAAGAAUGCCUUCGAAUUACUUACCGAAGCAGGUAAUUUGGGUUGUAAACCAGCAAAUAUUCUCAUGGAACCUCAUCUGAAAUUUUCGCUAAGUAAUGGAGAAUUACUCACAGAUUCAAGCAGUUAUAGAAGGCCAAUUGGUAAGAUGUUAUACCGUACCAUUACAAGGCCAGAUAUCAAUUAUUCCCUAACUAUUCUCAGUCAAUUUUUGGCAGCCCAACGCACUUUCCAGCUUUAGGCAGUUUUUCAUAUGUUGCAGUAUAUUAAGCGAACUCCAUAGCAAGGUAUCCUAUUUUCAUCCAGUUCUACAUUUCAACUAAAGGCCUUUGCAGACUCAAGACUGGGCACAAUGUCUUGAUACUAGGCGCUCCAUCUUUGGUUUUUGUGCUUUUUUUGGCUCCUCACUCAUCUCUUGGAAAUCCAAGAAACAACACAUGGUUACAUGGUCAUUUGCUGAAGCUGAAUAUCGAUGUAUGUCCAAUACUACUUGUGAACUUAUUUGGGUCCCUGCUCUCCUCAAGGAUUUGAAAGUCAAUCAUUUAGAUCCAGCUCUUAUUUUUUUGUGGUAAUCAAGUAGCUCUUCAUAUUGCUGCUAAUCCUGUUUAUCACGAAAGGACUAAACAUAUUGAAAUCAACUGUCACAUAGUUGGAGGAAAAAUUCAAGCUGGAUUUUGAAGACUUUACAUAUUGAUAAUCAACUUGCUGAUAUUUUUAUAAGGACUUCAUUCUCAAUUUCAUCGUCUCCUAGGUAAAAUGGACAUUCAUGACAUAUACUCUCCAUCUUGAAGGGAGUAUUAACGGCUAUUUUUGUCUUGUUAUAUAGUUAUUUAUUUUGUUACGUUGAGCUAUACACUUUUUCCUUAUUUUUCUGAUUUCCUUCUUUUCUACCUUAGCACCAUGAUAUAAAGUUUGUGUUGUGUUAUAUAAUCAGUAUUGAGAUCAUUUUCAAUCCAAUGAAGAGAAUAUGCACUUCCUCUCGUUCUAAUAAAAAGAUCUCCCCUCCAACUCAUUCAACAACAUGAUCUUCCUCCAUGAACCUCCUGCCUGUGGUCCUUCAGAUAUAAAUAUUUUCUUUCACCUUCCCCCUCAUCUGUCCAUCAAAACUAGAAACUUGCUCCUGAGAUUCUCACUUAAAGGUCCUAUAAAGUGUGUCUGUUACACGCCAUACUCCUCAAUGACACGAUCAUUUUCAAGGACCCCCUGCCUGCGGUCCUUCAAAUAUAAAUAUUUUCUUUCACCUUCCCCCUUGUCUCAACAUCAAAACUAGAAACUUGCUUCUGAGAUUCUCACCUAAAGGUCCCAUGAAGUGUGUCUGUUACAUGUCAUACUCCUCAGCCAAGAACCAUUCCCUUCUUCCUAGUAAAACUCCUGUAGUCAAUCCCCCUCCUCACCCACCCCAGAAAAAUGAUCAUGGACCGGAACCCUCUACCAUUUUAGCUCAGCUUGAUAUUGUUUACACCUCUACCCACAUUCUCUACAUCAACUGACUUCUGUUCUACAACCAGAAAUCUGCUGGUUGUAGAAGACGACAUGGAAGCCUUCCUCUGGCAGCACAACCCAGAGUGAUUCUCUGACAAACUUUCUAUCUCUAAGACUUCCUCUCAUGAUACGGGUUCAAUUGAACAGAAAUGAAAGUGCUAUCAUGAUUGGUUAUAAAAGGAGUAUUUUAAUGAUAACCAUUAAAAGUAGUUAUUGUGUAUAAUGUGCUAUUGCAUACUUAGCUCCAUGAGAACAUUUGCAACAGUUAACAAAAGGUUCAAAAUGAAGGAUCUUGGACCCCUUAAGUAUUUCUUAGGCAUGGAAGUUGCUCGUUCAGUACCUGAGAUCUCUCUUUGUCAAGCCAAGUAUGCCUUGGAAUUACUCUCUAAAGAGAGAUCUCAGGUACUGAACAAGCAACUUCUAAAGCAAGUAAUUUGGGUUGUAAACCAGCAAAUAUUCCCAUGCUUUGUAAAUACUUUUACUGAUACAUAAAUACUUUACUGAAUAGAGUAUUUAGGAGACCUUAUUGACGUAUUAAUAGAUACAUAAAUACUUUGUAUAUGGAUUAACACCUCCUCAGUACCGGUUUUUAGUGAUACUUUUAUAUUUUUAUUUCAAAAAAAAAAAAUGCGUGAUACUUUCACCUAGUAAAUAAGUGGACCAGUUAAUUUCCUAUGCACCAGAAUUUAUAUUGUUAAUUUGUGCAUAUGUUAUUUGAUGUCAAUACUAUUGUUUCAAGCAGUAAGGAUGUGCCUAAAUCAAAUAUUUAGUGCAUAUGAAGUCAAUAGCUCAAGUUCUAGGAAAGGACCAUUGGCCUAGUCCACUUUAUGAUGGACAGUUAAGGAGUAAGUUUCUUCAAAGAUAUGUAUAUAUAUUUGUGUGUCUGUGUCAUGUAGUCAAAUAUUGAAGUGAAAGGACAAUGCAUGUAAGUUGAGGAGUUCCAAUUAAUUAUAAUCAAUUCAAAGAUCGAGACACGAAAAAUAUAUGAACAUAUACGUUAGGAGAUUACUGUGCAGAUACUUUUUUGGUUGACAUGUGGGUCUGAAAGCUUGCUAUGCAAAGCAAGAGAAUGUAUAGCCAAUUGCUUAAGGAUGAAUUGGUGGUUAUGAUUCGUGGCAAUCUGAUUAUGUGCUUAGUUACGUUGAAAACCAGUUGUUUAUUUAUGUUUUUUUUUCGACCAUGCUGUUUAUAUUUGUUGUAUCUAAAGGAUGUAAUAGGUGUUGCAAUCCGGAAAUAUUGAAUUGUUGGAGUUAUUGAUGGCAUAUGUAACAUGUUUAACUGUGAUUAGAGGAGGUAUAAAUCCUGUUUUUUCUGUGGAAUUUCUACAAAUGGUCAAAAUUGUUAAAUUUUUCUAAAUGGGUUUGUCCUAUUUUUUCGAUGCAUGUUUACCUCUGGAAGGCUGCUAAACCCUUGUGACAGGGGGUGCUCUUCACUGGAUGCUGGUGUAUCUGGUUGAUGCGCAAUUCAAGGAUAGCAGGAUCUAUUCAUAUGCUGAAUUGUGGGAGAGGGUGACAUUUUUGGCAUCACUUUGGGCCAAAGCUGAAUUGUGGGAAAUGGGAGUAUUUAUCGUAAAGAUGAUGAGGCGACAUGGAUAGACACUACAGAACCUUGUGCUGUUAAGGGGGAGUCAAGCUUUGCAUUUGAAAGUACGUGAAUGCCCGGAGAAACCUGGUGAAUGAUAAUGGGUUCUCCUUUUGGUCUAUUGGAGAUAUAAACCAUCAUCUUGGAAGGUAUAUCAGCAACUAUUAGAUUAAACCCA